GGCGGCGGGGUGGCUGGGCCGGCGGCGGCGGCGGUACGAGGCGCGCGCUCGGGGUCCCGGUCGCGAGGAGGAGGAGGAUGUGGCGCGCGGAGGGGAAAUGGCUGCCGAAAACAAGCCGGAAGAUGAUCAUGGGAACAGCAAUAGUAGUCAUGUAAAAAUCUUUUUACCGAAAAAGCUGCUUGAAUGUCUGCCGAAAUGUUCAAGUUUACCAAAAGAGAGGCACCGCUGGAACACUAAUGAGAGAUCAUGAUGCAGCCGUCCUUUUGGAUUUCUUUUUAAUAAUGUGUGACCCUUCACCUUUGAUCCCCUGACCUGCAUUACCUUGGUAACCAUUUCAUUUUUUAAUUUAAUUUCAUUUUUUAAUUUUGGUGUACAAGCUGUAACAUUUCAUCUUUCAAAGUGUAACACGCUGAUUUCCUCAAAUAGAGAUACCCCUUUGAGUGAUAAAUUUGCAAAAUGCUGUCUUCAUUUUCUGUAUUAAAAUUCAUUUCAGUUUUAAAAUAAAGUGUAAUCUGUGUUUUCAUCCUUUUAAAAUUUA
rnacentral:sRNA from 1 species